UUAAGUUAUUAAGGGCGCACGGUGGAUGCCUUGGCACUAGAAGCCGAUGAAGGACGUUACUAACGACGAUAUGCUUUGGGGAGCUGUAAGUAAGCUUUGAUCCAGAGAUUUCCGAAUGGGGAAACCCAGCAUGAGUUAUGUCAUGUUAUCGAUAUGUGAAUACAUAGCAUAUCAGAAGGCACACCCGGAGAACUGAAACAUCUUAGUACCCGGAGGAAGAGAAAGAAAAUUCGAUUCCCUUAGUAGCGGCGAGCGAAACGGGAAGAGCCCAAACCAACAAGCUUGCUUGUUGGGGUUGUAGGACACUCUAUACGGAGUUACAAAGGACGACAUUAGACGAAUCAUCUGGAAAGAUGAAUCAAAGAAGGUAAUAAUCCUGUAGUCGAAAAUGUUGUCUCUCUUGAGUGGAUCCUGAGUACGACGGAGCACGUGAAAUUCCGUCGGAAUCUGGGAGGACCAUCUCCUAAGGCUAAAUACUCUCUAGUGACCGAUAGUGAACCAGUACCGUGAGGGAAAGGUGAAAAGCACCCCGGAAGGGGAGUGAAAUAGAACCUGAAACCGUGUGCUUACAAGUAGUCAGAGCCCGUUAAUGGGUGAUGGCGUGCCUUUUGUAGAAUGAACCGGCGAGUUACGAUUUGAUGCAAGGUUAAGCAGUAAAUGUGGAGCCGUAGCGAAAGCGAGUCUGAAUAGGGCGUUUAGUAUUUGGUCGUAGACCCGAAACCAGGUGAUCUACCCUUGGUCAGGUUGAAGUUCAGGUAACACUGAAUGGAGGACCGAACCGACUUACGUUGAAAAGUGAGCGGAUGAACUGAGGGUAGCGGAGAAAUUCCAAUCGAACCUGGAGAUAGCUGGUUCUCUCCGAAAUAGCUUUAGGGCUAGCCUCAAGUGAUGAUUAUUGGAGGUAGAGCACUGUUUGGACGAGGGGCCCCUCUCGGGUUACCGAAUUCAGACAAACUCCGAAUGCCAAUUAAUUUAACUUGGGAGUCAGAACAUGGGUGAUAAGGUCCGUGUUCGAAAGGGAAACAGCCCAGACCACCAGCUAAGGUCCCAAAAUAUAUGUUAAGUGGAAAAGGAUGUGGCGUUGCCCAGACAACUAGGAUGUUGGCUUAGAAGCAGCCAUCAUUUAAAGAGUGCGUAAUAGCUCACUAGUCGAGUGACACUGCGCCGAAAAUGUACCGGGGCUAAACAUAUUACCGAAGCUGUGGAUUGUCCUUUGGACAAUGGUAGGAGAGCGUUCUAAGGGCGUUGAAGCAUGAUCGUAAGGACAUGUGGAGCGCUUAGAAGUGAGAAUGCCGGUGUGAGUAGCGAAAGACGGGUGAGAAUCCCGUCCACCGAUUGACUAAGGUUUCCAGAGGAAGGCUCGUCCGCUCUGGGUUAGUCGGGUCCUAAGCUGAGGCCGACAGGCGUAGGCGAUGGAUAACAGGUUGAUAUUCCUGUACCACCUAUAAUCGUUUUAAUCGAUGGGGGGACGCAGUAGGAUAGGCGAAGCGUGCGAUUGGAUUGCACGUCUAAGCAGUAAGGCUGAGUAUUAGGCAAAUCCGGUACUCGUUAAGGCUGAGCUGUGAUGGGGAGAAGACAUUGAGUCUUCGAGUCGUUGAUUUCACACUGCCGAGAAAAGCCUCUAGAUAGAAAAUAGGUGCCCGUACCGCAAACCGACACAGGUAGUCAAGAUGAGAAUUCUAAGGUGAGCGAGCGAACUCUCGUUAAGGAACUCGGCAAAAUGACCCCGUAACUUCGGGAGAAGGGGUGCUCUUUAGGGUUAACGCCCAGAAGAGCCGCAGUGAAUAGGCCCAAGCGACUGUUUAUCAAAAACACAGGUCUCUGCUAAACCGUAAGGUGAUGUAUAGGGGCUGACGCCUGCCCGGUGCUGGAAGGUUAAGAGGAGUGGUUAGCUUCUGCGAAGCUACGAAUCGAAGCCCCAGUAAACGGCGGCCGUAACUAUAACGGUCCUAAGGUAGCGAAAUUCCUUGUCGGGUAAGUUCCGACCCGCACGAAAGGCGUAACGAUUUGGGCACUGUCUCAACGAGAGACUCGGUGAAAUCAUAGUACCUGUGAAGAUGCAGGUUACCCGCGACAGGACGGAAAGACCCCGUGGAGCUUUACUGUAGCCUGAUAUUGAAAUUCGGCACAGCUUGUACAGGAUAGGUAGGAGCCUUUGAAACGUGAGCGCUAGCUUACGUGGAGGCGCUGGUGGGAUACUACCCUAGCUGUGUUGGCUUUCUAACCCGCACCACUUAUCGUGGUGGGAGACAGUGUCAAGCGGGCAGUUUGACUGGGGCGGUCGCCUCCUAAAAGGUAACGGAGGCGCUCAAAGGUUCCCUCAGAAUGGUUGGAAAUCAUUCAUAGAGUGUAAA
rnacentral:rRNA from 1 species